rnacentral:lncRNA from 1 species
AAAGAUUUGAUGGAAAGUGAUAACUUUCACUCUUAUCAAUGACAGCUGUGAGCGACAACUAAUGUAUGGAUCCGAUUCCAUCCCGUGACAAAAUCAAACCACAUCCACAUACAUGAUGCUAUGUCCCUUGAAUAAAUAGUUAAAUAGAGAGAGCAUUCCUUGAUAGAGAAAAAGUAAGGAAGAGAGAAUGGAAGAGGGUUUGUCAUCUGCAACAUCUACAAUGGUUGGAGUUGGAGUUGGAGUUGAAAUACAAUCAUUAGAAAGAAGAAGGAGUGAUAGUUUUGGUAAGAAGAAGAAAGUGAUGUUAGAAGGUUAUGUGAAUGAAGAUAUAGGAAGGACCAAAAGUCUAAGUGAUGAAGAUCUUGAUGAGUUGAAGGGUUGCUUGGAUCUUGGAUUUGGUUUCAGUUAUGAUGAGAUUCCUGAAUUAUGCAACACUUUACCAGCUCUUGAGUUGUGUUACUCUAUGUCUCAUAAGGAGGAACCUUCUUCUUCUUCUUCUCCAUCUCAUCAUUCCUUCAACAAUUCCAUUGCCAACUGGAAGAUCUCUAGUCCAGGUGAUCAUCCUGAAGAUGUGAAAGCAAGGCUUAAAUUUUGGGCUCAGGCUGUUGCAUGCACUGUUAAACUAUGCAGCUGAGAGAGAAUGAAGUUAGUUUUAUUUGUGUGUGAGGAAUGGAACAUUCUGUGUACAUGCUGCACUGCACUGGAGAUGAUAUAUCAUGAUUCAUGAAUCAUGAUCAAUCAAUGAUAAGUGGAGGAGACAGCAGAGGAAGGAGGAAGAGGAGGAGGGUGGUGGUGGUUUGAGGUCAGCUGUGACAUCCUCAACUAGACUACAUCUCUACAACUAUUCUAAUUAUUCAUUGUAUCUUUUAGUAUCAUUGCUAAUAAAUUUAUAUCAUUCAGCUCAAGUUUUGGUUGAAUUCCCAUCAUAUUAUAUAUCAUGCAGUGGUGACACCCUUCAUUAUUUGCAUUUUGCUGAGAUGAAUCGAGUCUGCUCUUCUUCAAGAUCCAACUGGAAGAAGAGAGUAAAGAGAAGCUGUGUCCAACCCUCUUAAGUCACAUAGUUUCUUCAAAUUGUUCUUUGUCUUGUGGAAGGAUUGGUCAUUUGUUAUCCCUUAUGUGAAAGGAUUUUGUUCUUGAUCUUGACAGAGUAUGUGGUACUAGGCAUUACUUAAUUAUCCAUUACUGAAAUGAGUUGGAACUGUAAGAUAAACACAGCUUAAGAGUGUAAGCAUGUAGAAAAUAUGAUGAAUCCUAGCCAUGGUUAGACCAGUCUAAUUGUAUCUUAAAAGAUUUUAUCAUGGCCACUGAAGAAGCAAAAUUCAUCAGCAUAAAAUUAUUGCUCCCUUUUCUUCUUUGGGUCAGAAAAUCAUACCAGCAUAUGGAUUAUAAAACAAAUUAAUAGGGUGUAGUACUUCAACCACAUGAUACGAUUUUCAAGAUAUUCCUUUCAUACGGUAUUAUUGCAUUGAACUAAGUUACAACCUCAUUAAUAUAAGAUAAUAAAGUAUCUCCUUAUACCAAAUAUAAUCAGUGAUUCGAGUACGAUAUUUGGAUAUACUUUAUUCUCU